AGAACACUUCCACCACUGGAAAGCUCAGGACCCUCCAUCCCGUUGGUGGCUGCCCCAGUCAUUACAGAUUUUCUUCCUUUCACUGAGCCAAAUCUGUCCACUGGCUUCCAGGAAGAGGAGGCCUGGUCUGUGCCCCUGCCUGGCAAAGCCCCGUAGACUUUCCUCAAUCUUUCAAGUGUCUUCUUUAUCUUCUAUCCUGCUUAUAACAUAAGCACCACAUUCAGCUUUGGGUUUUAUAUGUCGGCCUGCUAAGUAUCUGAACCAGGUUUAUCCAAAAUUUGUCACAGUAUAUGAAUUGAUGUUCUUUGAAAAAGAACAAAGAAAGUUUUAUGGUCAAAUAAGCUUUGAAAAUGCUGGGUUAAUAAGCUUUGGUGGUCACACUAAGUGUUCAUCUACAUCCCUGGCUCUUCCCACUUUGGCACCCGCCAGCCCCACUGCCACUGUCAUCACCUGCACUGCUUUACCUGAGGGCCCUGUCUGGUCCUUGGAGCCCACUUUUUCUGCCCAGGCAACAAGAAGUGUGAAGGAAUCAAAACUCUCCAGGAGCAGCCCUCAACCAGAGACGGACUGGAGUUGGUGUGUGAUAUGGUUUGGCUGUGUCCCCACCCAAAUCUCAUCUUGAAUUGUAGUUCCCAUAAUUCCCAUGUGUUGUGGGAGGGACCCAGUGGGAGGUAAUUCAAUCAUUGGGGUGGGUCUUUCCCAUGCUGUUCUCGUGAUUGUGCAUAAGUCUCAUGAGAUCUGAUGGUUUUAUAAAGGUAAGUUCCCCUGCACAACUUCUCUGUCUUGCCUGCUGCCAUAUAAGAUGUGGCUUUCGCCUUUUGCCACCCCUAUGCCAAGAUUGUGAGGCCUCCCCAGCCAGAUGGAACGGAAAUGGUACCAAUUUCCUCAAGCUGCAAGACUGAGAGACAGAGACACCCCAGGAUUGGGCAAUUAUGUUAGGAAAUUCAACAUUCGAGAUGAAUGGAAAAUGGCUGGGGACUUUUUCUCAACAACUUGGCUCGAACAGGAUUGAUUCCAGGACUGAGAAGUAUUCAAGUGACUCAGUGCCUGCAGUGAUAUAAAAUAGGAUCAUUUGGUAGCUGGAAAAUCUAAGGUGUGCCCUAUCAUCAAAGCACCGGCAUUUAAUAAAGUUGAUUAAGGAUGUUGAAGCAGCAAGGAGGGAAACCAACCAUGGAACACCGGGUCAACCCUGCAUUAGGAGUCCGGAACAUCACAGAGACACAGGGAGAUGUCUUCUAAAUUUCUGCAUGGACCAGGAGACUUUUUCUUGCCUCUAGAAGGACAUGGAAUGUUCUUUCUGGAACACCCCCCAGCACUGGCUCAGGACAUCUCUGUGAGGGUUCUUAGAGGACUCAGGGAAUGCUGUCUGCACCUGCACACACAGGUGUGUGGGUUUCCUCUGGGCAUUGGCUGCAUGUUAGGCAUUUGGUAUUCUGUCCUAUACAUGAUGGGAUAAAGUGUUUAAGAGAUAAAUGUUCCAAGACCUUCCUGAUCUACCCAUGAAUAAACAACCUGACUGGGA
rnacentral:lncRNA from 1 species